rnacentral:rRNA from 1 species
GAUGAACGCUAGCUACAGGCUUAACACAUGCAAGUCGAGGGGCAGCGGUAUCGAAAGCUUGCUUUCGGUAGCCGGCGACCGGCGCACGGGUGAGUAACGCGUAUCGAACCUGCCUCAUACUCGGGAAUAGCCUUGCGAAAGUAAGAUUAAUGCCCGGUGUUUUCAGAGUCCCGCAUGAGGCUUUGAACAAAGAUUUAUCGGUAUGAGAUGGCGAUGCGUCCCAUUAGCUUGUUGGCGGGGUAACGGCCCACCAAGGCAUCGAUGGGUAGGGGUUCUGAGAGGAAGGUCCCCCACAUUGGAACUGAGACACGGUCCAAACUCCUACGGGAGGCAGCAGUGAGGAAUAUUGAUCAAUGGGCGGAAGCCUGAACCAGCCAAGUAGCGUGCAGGAAGACGGCCCUCCGGGUUGUAAACUGCUUUUAGUUGGGAAUAAAACGGGGCUCGUGAGCCCCCUUACAUGUACCAUCAGAAAAAGGACCGGCUAAUUCCGUG